AGCGAACGCUGGCGGCAGGCUUAACACAUGCAAGUCGAGCGGGCCCUUCGGGGUCAGCGGCAGACGGGUGAGUAACGCGUGGGAACGUGCCCUUCGGUUCGGAAUAACUCAGGGAAACUUGAGCUAAUACCGGAUACGCCCUUGGGGAAAGGCUUGCUGCCGAAGGAUCGGCCCGCGUCUGAUUAGCUAGUUGGUGAGGUUAUGGCUCACCAAGGCGACGAUCAGUAGCUGGUCUGAGAGGAUGAUCAGCCACACUGGGACUGAGACACGGCCCAGACUCCUACGGGAGGCAGCAGUGGGGAAUAUUGGACAAUGGGGGCAACCCUGAUCCAGCCAUGCCGCGUGAGUGAUGACGGCCUUAGGGUUGUAAAGCUCUUUUCUCCGGGACGAUAAUGACGGUACCGGAGGAAUAAGCCCCGGCUAACUUCGUG
rnacentral:rRNA from 1 species